GAUGAACGCUGGCGGCGCGCCUAAUACAUGCAAGUCGAGCGAACGGACGAGAAGCUUGCUUCUCUGAUGUUAGCGGCGGACGGGUGAGUAACACGUGGAUAACCUACCUAUAAGACUGGGAUAACUUCGGGAAACCGGAGCUAAUACCGGAUAAUAUUUUGAACCGCAUGGUUCAAAAGUGAAAGACGGUCUUGCUGUCACUUAUAGAUGGAUCCGCGCUGCAUUAGCUAGUUGGUAAGGUAACGGCUUACCAAGGCAACGAUGCAUAGCCGACCUGAGAGGGUGAUCGGCCACACUGGAACUGAGACACGGUCCAGACUCCUACGGGAGGCAGCAGUAGGGAAUCUUCCGCAAUGGGCGAAAGCCUGACGGAGCAACGCCGCGUGAGUGAUGAAGGUCUUCGGAUCGUAAAACUCUGUUAUUAGGGAAGAACAUAUGUGUAAGUAACUGUGCACAUCUUGACGGUACCUAAUCAGAAAGCCACGGCUAGCUACGUG
rnacentral:rRNA from 1 species